rnacentral:rRNA from 1 species
GAUGAACGCUGGCGGCGUGCCUAAUACAUGCAAGUCGAGCGAACAGACGAGGAGCUUGCUCCUCUGACGUUAGCGGCGGACGGGUGAGUAACACGUGGAUAACCUACCUAUAAGACUGGGAUAACUUCGGGAAACCGGAGCUAAUACCGGAUAAUAUAUUGAACCGCAUGGUUCAAUAGUGAAAGACGGUUUUGCUGUCACUUAUAGAUGGAUCCGCGCCGCAUUAGCUAGUUGGUAAGGUAACGGCUUACCAAGGCAACGAUGCGUAGCCGACCUGAGAGGGUGUUCGGCCACACUGGAACUGAGAUACGGUCCAGACUCCUAGGGGAGGCAGCAUUAGGGAAUCUUCCGCAAUGGGCGAAAGCCUGACGGAGCAACGCCGCGUGAGUGAUGAAGGUCUUCGGAUCGUAAAACUCUGUUAUUAGGGAAGAACAAAUGUGUAAGUAACUAUGCACGUCUUGACGGUACCUAAUCAGAAAGCCACGGCUAACUACGUG